UACAGAGGGGGCAAGCGUUGUUCGGAAUUAUUGGGCGUAAAGAGCUCGUAGGCGGUUUGUCGCGUCUGCUGUGAAAACCCGAGGCUCAACCUCGGGCCUGCAGUGGGUACGGGCAGACUAGAGUGCGGUAGGGGAGAUUGGAAUUCCUGGUGUAGCGGUGGAAUGCGCAGAUAUCAGGAGGAACACCGAUGGCGAAGGCAGAUCUCUGGGCCGUAACUGACGCUGAGGAGCGAAAGCAUGGGGAGCGAACAGG
rnacentral:rRNA from 1 species